UAGAGGAUACUUCGGCGUCGGCCCCGUUCUAAGUUCCUUGGAACAGGACGUCAUAGAGGGUGAGAAUCCCGUAUGCGGUCGGAAAGGUGCUCUAUACGUAGCUCCUUCGACGAGUCGAGUUGUUUGGGAAUGCAGCUCUAAAUGGGAGGUAAAUUUCUUCUAAAGCUAAAUAACGGCCAGAGACCGAUAGCGCACAAGUAGAGUGAUCGAAAGAUGAAAAGCACUUUGGAAAGAGAGUUAAAAAGUACGUGAAAUUGUUGA
rnacentral:rRNA from 1 species